rnacentral:rRNA from 1 species
AUGGUUAAGUUAGAAAGGGCGCACGGUGAAUGCCUUGGCACUAGGAGCCGAUGAAGGACGGGACUAACACCGAUAUGCUUCGGGGAGCUGUAAGUGAGCUUUGAUCCGGAGAUUUCCGAAUGGGGAAACCCACUGUUCGUAAUGGAACAGUAUCUUUAUCUGAAUACAUAGGAUAUUGAAGGCAGACCCGGGGAACUGAAACAUCUAAGUACCCGGAGGAAGAGAAAGCAAAUGCGAUUUCCUGAGUAGCGGCGAGCGAAACGGAAUUAGCCCAAACCAAGAGGCUUGCCUCUUGGGGUUGUAGGACACUCUAUACGGAGUUACAAAGGAACGAAGUAAAUGAAGCGACCUGGAAAGGUCCGUCRAAGAAGGUAACAACCCUGUAGUUGAAACUUCGUUCYCUCUUGAGUGGAUCCUGAGUACGGCGGAACACGUGAAAUUCCGUCGGAAGCUGGGAGGACCAUCUCCCAAGGCUAAAUACUACCUAGUGACCGAUAGUGAACCAGUACCGUGAGGGAAAGGUGAAAAGCACCCCGGAAGGGGAGUGAAAGAGAUCCUGAAACCGUGUGCCUACAAGUAGUCAGAGCCCGUUAAYGGGUGAUGGCGUGCCUUUUGUAGAAUGAACCGGCGAGUUACGAUCCCAUGCAAGGUUAAGCUGAUAAGGCGGAGCCGUAGCGAAAGCGAGUCUGAAUAGGGCGUUUAGUAUGUGGUUGUAGACCCGAAACCAGGUGAUCUACCCAUGUCCAGGGUGAAGUUCAGGUAACACUGAAUGGAGGCCCGAACCCACGCACGUUGAAAAGUGCGGGGAUGAGGUGUGGGUAGCGGAGAAAUUCCAAUCGAACCUGGAGAUAGCUGGUUCUCUCCGAAAUAGCUUUAGGGCUAGCCUCAUGUUGURAGAGUCUUGGAGGUAGAGCACUGAUUGGACUAGGGGCCCCCAACGGGUUACCGAAUUCAGUCAAACUCCGAAUGCCAAAGACUUAUCCAUGGGAGUCAGACUGCGAGUGAUAAGAUCCGUAGUCAAAAGGGAAACAGCCCAGACCACCAGCUAAGGUCCCCAAGUAUACGUUAAGUGGAAAAGGAUGUGGAGUUGCUUAGACAACCAGGAUGUUGGCUUAGAAGCAGCCACCAUUUAAAGAGUGCGUAAUAGCUCACUGGUCGAGUGACUCUGCGCCGAAAAUGUACCGGGGCUAAACGUAUCACCGAAGCUGUGGAUUGACAUCUUUGAUGUCAGUGGUAGGAGAGCGUUCUAAGUGCWGYGAAGUCAGACCGUAAGGACUGGUGGAGCGCUUAGAAGUGAGAAUGCCGGUAUGAGUAGCGAAAGACAAGUGAGAAUCUUGUCCACCGAAUGCCUAAGGUUUCCUGAGGAAGGCUCGUCCGCUCAGGGUUAGUCGGGACCUAAGCCGAGGCUGAAAAGCGUAGGCGAUGGCCAACAGGUUGAUAUUCCUGUACCACCUCCCCGCCGUUUGAGUAAUGGGGGGACGCAGUAGGAUAGGGUAAGCGCGCUGCUGGAUAUGCGCGUUCAAGCAGUUAGGCUGAUGAGUAGGCAAAUCCGCUCAUCAUAAAGGCUGAGCUGUGAUGACGAGGGAAUUAUAGUACCGAAGUUCCUGAUUCCACACUGCCAAGAAAAGCCUCUAGCGAGGCGGGAGGUGCCCGUACCGCAAACCGACACAGGUAGGCGAGGAGAGAAUCCUAAGGUGAUCGAGAGAACUCUCGUUAAGGAACUCGGCAAAAUGACCCCGUAACUUCGGGAGAAGGGGUGCUCUGGUAGGGUGUAUAGCCCGAGAGAGCCGCAGUGAAUAGGCCCAGGCGACUGUUUAGCAAAAACACAGGUCUCUGCGAAGCCGCAAGGCGAAGUAUAGGGGCUGACGCCUGCCCGGUGCUGGAAGGUUAAGAGGAGGGGUUAUCCUUUGGGAGAAGCUCUGAAUCGAAGCCCCAGUAAACGGCGGCCGUAACUAUAACGGUCCUAAGGUAGCGAAAUUCCUUGUCGGGUAAGUUCCGACCCGCACGAAAGGCGUAACGAUCUGGGCACUGUCUCAACGAGAGACUCGGUGAAAUUAUAGUACCUGUGAAGAUGCAGGUUACCCGCGACAGGACGGAAAGACCCCGUGGAGCUUUACUGUAGCCUGAUAUUGAAUUUUGGUACAGCUUGUACAGGAUAGGUAGGAGCCUGAGAAGCCGGAGCGCUAGCUUCGGUGGAGGCGUCGGUGGGAUACUACCCUGGCUGUAUUGAAAUUCUAACCCGCGGCCCUGAUCGGGCCGGGAGACAGUGUCAGGUGGGCAGUUUGACUGGGGCGGUCGCCUCCUAAAAUGUAACGGAGGCGCCCAAAGGUUCCCUCAGAAUGGUUGGAAAUCAUUCGUAGAGUGUAAAGGCACAAGGGAGCUUGACUGCGAGACCUACAAGUCGAGCAGGGACGAAAGUCGGGCUUAGUGAUCCGGUGGUUCCGCAUGGAAGGGCCAUCGCUCAACGGAUAAAAGCUACCCCGGGGAUAACAGGCUUAUCUCCCCCAAGAGUCCACAUCGACGGGGAGGUUUGGCACCUCGAUGUCGGCUCAUCGCAUCCUGGGGCUGUAGUCGGUCCCAAGGGUUGGGCUGUUCGCCCAUUAAAGCGGUACGCGAGCUGGGUUCAGAACGUCGUGAGACAGUUCGGUCCCUAUCCGUCGUGGGCGUAGGAAAUUUGAGAGGAGCUGUCCUUAGUACGAGAGGACCGGGAUGGACACACCGCUGGUGUACCAGUUGUCUUGCCAAAGGCAUCGCUGGGUAGCUAUGUGUGGACGGGAUAAGUGCUGAAAGCAUCUAAGCAUGAAGCCCCCCUCAAGAUGAGAUUUCCCAUAGCGCAAGCUAGUAAGAUCCCUGAAAGAUGAUCAGGUUGAUAGGUCAGAGGUGGAAGCGUGGCGACAUGUGUAGCUGACUGAUACUAAUCGAUCGAGGACUUAACCAAAC